CCCUUCGAUGUUCUGGGCCGCACGCGUGCUACAAUGAUCGAUUCAACGAGUUUACAACCUGCUCCGACAGGAGUGGGUAAUCUUUUGAAAAUCGAUUCGUAACAGGGAUUGUGGGUUGCAAUUUUCCCACAUGAACGAGGAAUGCCUCGUAAGUGCACUUCAUCAGAGUGCGCUGAUUACGUCCCUGCCCUUUGUACACACCGCCCGUCGCUCCUACCGAUUGAAUAACCCGGUGAGAAGUCUGGACACUGGAUCUUGGUUAAGUAGAGUUUUACUUUGCUUGCCUCCCGGUGAAAAUUCUUCAAAUCUUGUUAUUUAGAGGAAGGAGAAGUCGUANCA
rnacentral:rRNA from 1 species